CGCACCUUGCGCCCCUUGGUAUUCCGAGGGGCAUGCCUGUUUGAGUGUCUUGUCUCUAUCAAACAUCAUGUUUGGUGUUGCGGGGAUUGCCGUGUCGGGCUCCCGUUGAAUGCAUCGGCUCGCCGUCAGUUGGACGCUCAGUGUUGUAACUUACUACGCUGCAUCUUGUCUCGCGGCAGCCGCCCCUAUGUUGCUUGCAUUAUGACCUCAAAUCAGGUAGGAUUACCCGCUGAACUUAA
rnacentral:misc_RNA from 1 species